rnacentral:lncRNA from 1 species
CGUUAAAAGAUUAUUUAAUUGUUUAUGAUCCUUUAAAAUCAUUCAUUUUUAGACACCAUUCCGUUUUCUUUGUUUCUGAGUUGAAAUGUUUUGGGUAAAUUUUUUUUCUUUCUUCUUUAACUAUACUAUUAUUUGUUUGGAACGUUAUGGAGAGAAGAGUUAUAAUCGUUUUCUUAAACGGAACAUCCCAUAUCCAGAAAUCAACACCACUUUGCUUAUUUGAAUAUUAUACUAAAGAAAUCGGAUACGGGUCACGGAAAUUAUAUUGAAUGAUAUGGAAUUUUGAAGAAACAAAUGUCUGUUUUAACAUUAUUUACAGAUAGUCAGGUUGCGGGGAUAGAAAAUAAAUGUACACAAAAAUAUACACCAUUUAAACGAAACAUGAUGACUGUCGUUGCAAAAAUCAAGGUUCCUGAGCUAUUUUCAAAAUCGAAGCG